UACGAGAGGCCCAAACGUUAUUCGGAUUUACUGGGCUUAAAGAGUUCGUAGGCGGUUCGGUAAGUGAGGUGUGAAAGCCCUCGGCUCAACCGAGGAAUUGCGCUUCAAACUGCCGGGCUCGAGGGAGAUAGAGGUGAGCGGAACUGAUGGUGGAGCGGUGAAAUGCGUUGAUAUCAUCAGGAACACCAGAGGCGAAGGCGGCUCACUGGGUCUCUUCUGACGCUGAGACGCGAAAGCGUGGGGAGCAAACAGG
rnacentral:rRNA from 1 species